UUUCUUUUCUUUUUUUUUCUUUUCUUUUUUUUUUUUUUUUUUUUUUU
rnacentral:ribozyme from 1 species